GACAGAGGGUGCAAACGUUGCUCGGAAUUACUGGGCGUAAAGGGCGUGUAGGCGGGAAGGUAAGUCGGGCGUGAAAUCCCCAAGCUCAACUUGGGAACUGCACUCGAAACUACCUUUCUUGAGUGCCGGAGAGGAAAGCGGAAUUCCUGGUGUAGAGGUGAAAUUCGUAGAUAUCAGGAGGAACACCAGUGGCGAAGGCGGCUUUCUGGACGGUGACUGACGCUGAGACGCGAAAGCGUGGGGAGCAAACAGG
rnacentral:rRNA from 1 species